rnacentral:misc_RNA from 1 species
AACGCACGAGACCUGCGGACCUGCGGAAGGAUCAUUAAUGAGAAACUGCCCCUCGCGGGUAGAUCUCCCACCCUUUGUAAACUUACCUUUGUUGCUUUGGCAGGCCCGUCUCCGGACCGCCGGCUUCGGCUGGCCAGUGCCUGCCAGAGGAUUCUAAAACUCUGUCUGUCAGUGUUGUCUGAGUCUAUAUACAAUCGUUAAAACUUUCAACAACGGAUCUCUAAAUCGGAAGAGCACACG